AUGUUGGGUUAAGUCCCGUAACGAGCGCAACCCUUGUCCUUAGUUACCAGCACGUUAUGGUGGGCACUCUAAGGAGACUGCCGGUGACAAACCGGAGGAAGGUGGGGAUGACGUCAAGUCAUCAUGGCCCUUACGGCCUGGGCUACACACGUGCUACAAUGGUCGGUACAAAGGGUUGCCAAGCCGCGAGGUGGAGCUAAUCCCAUAAAACCGAUCGUAGUCCGGAUCGCAGUCUGCAACUCGACUGCGUGAAGUCGGAAUCGCUAAUAAUCGUGAAUCAGAAUGUCACGGUGAAUACGUUCCCGGGCCUU
rnacentral:rRNA from 1 species